GGGACAGCCGGGGCGGAAGGGCUUGUUCAUUAUUUUGAGAGUUUGUUGUGAACGUCAUAACCCUUCGUCCUUAAAUAUUGCCGAUACUUGACCUACGCAAGAGACAAUGUCAUGUGAUUCAGCCUAAUAUCUCAGAGGAUGCAGCAUUCAAGGUUCUAUCUUGGAAGCAGAGACUGUGCCCUCACCAGAUGCUGAACCUGCUGAGCACCCUGAUCUUCCACUUCACCUUCAUCAGAACUACUGUUUGCUGUGAUUGCACCUGCCAUCUUAUGCAGAAAUGACCUGAAGACAGAUUGAAACAACGUGUUCUACAGCCUGAAAAUAUCUACCUUGACUUACAGUUUUAUUAAUGCUGGUGUGAUCAGACUGGACAAAAAUUAGCAUAUGUUAUUAACUAAUCUAAUUCAAAUGCCAAUUCUUAAUAGAAACACAAAACAAUAAA
rnacentral:lncRNA from 1 species